rnacentral:rRNA from 1 species
UACGUAGGCAGCAAGCGUUGUUCGGAGUUACUGGGCGUAAAGGGCGCGUAGGCGGCGCGGAUAGUCGGCGGUGAAAGCCCGGAGCUCAACUCCGGGUCGGCCGUCGAUACUUCCGGGCUUGAGCACUGUAGAGGCAGAUGGAAUUCCGGGUGUAGCGGUGGAAUGCGUAGAGAUCCGGAAGAACACCGGUGGCGAAGGCGGUCUGCUGGGCAGUUGCUGACGCUGAUGCGCGACAGCGUGGGGAGCAAACGAG